GGUGUUCCUGGUUUGGGAAGUAUAAAUCCCGCGGGAAGUCAACUGGAGAACAUUUUACGCGUCCGUCACUCAUCCUAUUAUGAGCCUGCUGCUCUUCCUUCUCUGGACAAGG
rfam:Rattus norvegicus strain BN; Sprague-Dawley chromosome 7 CRA_213000034367417, whole genome shotgun sequence.